rnacentral:rRNA from 1 species
GAUGAACGCUGGCGGCGUGCCUAAUACAUGCAAGUCGAACGAGGUGCUUUUGUAGCAAUACGAGAGUAUCCUAGUGGCGAACGGGUGAGUAACGCGUUGGUGACCUACCCCAAAGUGUGGGAUAACAGUCCGAAAGGACUGCUAAUACCGCAUGUGGUUAUUGGAUCUAGAAACCGGUAACUAAAGGAGUAAUUCGCUUUGGGAGGGACCUGCGGCCCAUCAGCUAGUUGGUGAGGUAAUGGCUCACCAAGGCGACGACGGGUAGGGGACCUGAGAGGGUGGCCCCCCACAAUGGAACUGAAACACGGUCCAUACACCUACGGGUGGCAGCAGUAGGGAAUAUUGCACAAUGGGCGAAAGCCUGAUGCAGCAACGCCGCGUGUGUGAUGAAGGCCUUCGGGUCGUAAAGCACUUUUCUGGGAGAUGAGAAAGGACAGUAUCCCAGGAAUAAGUCUCGGCUAACUACGUGCCAGCCGCCGCCGUAACAC